UGUUGUCAGGUCAUUAAAGAUUGCAUAUUUUGGCGUUAAUAUUGAUUCACUUAUAGGGUCUUUGCAUCGGAACUAAACACAUUUAUUCAAAAACCAGUUGUUGGCAUGGCACGGGUUAUGUUCUUCUCAUAUAUGUUAUGAUGGUAUGAUACUAAACCUCUAACGGGAAGGAUUGUGCCUGAUGUUCAUAUGAUGAAAUCAUAAUCUUUC
rnacentral:lncRNA from 1 species